UAGUAGUCGGAUCGGCUUGUAGCUUCAUAUUUUUCUUUAAACGGUUAAUAAAUACUGCUGCUAUAAUAGGCUUUUCUUCAUUUGACCCAGCUUCUUUUUCAAUUAUUGAAGCAAGCGUUAAAACAUCAAUUCUAGUUUUUAAUGGAGAAUCUGGUGAAAGAUAUUUCAUUACUUCAUCUAAAUUAGUAGACAUUAAAUUUCUCA
rnacentral:sRNA from 1 species